UAAUACGUAGGGUGCAAGCGUUAAUCGGAAUUACUGGGCGUAAAGGGUGCGCAGGCGGUACUGUAAGUCAGAUGUGAAAUCCCCGGGCUUAACCUGGGAAUUGCGUUUGAAACUACAGAACUAGAGUGUAAUAGAGGGAGACGGAAUUCCAUGUGUAGCAGUGAAAUGCGUAGAGAUAUGGAAGAACAUCGAUGGCGAAGGCAGUCUCCUGGAUUAACACUGACGCUCAUGCACGAAAGCGUGGGGAGCAAACAGGAUUAGAUACCCUGGUAGUCCACGCCCUAAACUAUGUCAACUAGUUGUUGGGCUUUAAAAAGCUUAGUAACGUAGCUAACGCGUGAAGUUGACCGCCUGGGGAGUACGGUCGCAAGAUUAAAACUUAAAUGAAUUGACGG
rnacentral:rRNA from 2 species